rnacentral:rRNA from 1 species
UACGAAGGGGGCUAGCGUUGCUCGGAAUCACUGGGCGUAAAGCGCACGUAGGCGGAUUGCUAAGUCGAGGGUGAAUCCUGGAGCUCAACUCCAGAACUGCCCUUGAGUACUGGCGGUCUCGAGUCCGGGAGAGGUGAGUGGAACUGCGAGUGUAGAGGUGAAAUUCGUAGAUAUUCGCGAAGAACACCAGUGGCGAAGGCGGCUCACUGGCCGGUACUGACGCUGAGGUGCGAAGCGUGGGAGCAACAGG